rnacentral:rRNA from 1 species
UACGUAGGGGGCUAGCGUUGUCCGGAUUUAUUGGGCGUAAAGAGCGUGUAGGCGGCCAGGUAGGUCUGCUGUGAAAACUCGAGGCUCAACCUCGAGAUGUCGGCGGAAACCAUCUGGCUAGAGUCCGGAAGAGGAAAGUGGAAUUCCUGGUGUAGCGGUGAAAUGCGUAGAUAUGCGGAGGAACACCGAUGGCGAAGGCGAGCC